GGGAGAGCCCUUGGUGUGCAAAACCCAUCCUUCAGCAUCUGCAGGUGUUCAUUGAAUCAGGCAAGACCAACUGUGGGUCACGCCAGGAUGACUCCGAAAAUCUCCUUCUGGUUACUGCUCCGUUUGGCCGUCCUUCUGGCCGCUUUUCUGCUGCAGUCCAGUGAAGGGUCGAGAUACCGGCAUUUCCAACGGCAGCACGUUGAUCAUCCUCGGACCGGAGCCGCCAACGACAACGCCUACUGCAAUCUCAUGAUGCGGCGGAGAGGCUUGACGAGAGGCCGCUGCAAACCCACCAACACCUUCAUCCAUAGCAGUCUCAACACCAUUCGAAGUGUCUGCCAAGGGAGACGGAAUCUGUGCGACAGCCGUCAGAGUUUCUCUAUGACGGUUUGCCGCAACAGAGGUCGUUAUCCCAGAUGCAAUUAUGUUGGCCGGCGACACAACAGGAGAAUGCGUCUGGGCUGCAGAAACGGGGUGCCUGUUCACUUCGACAGAAUGCUGUAGGCCGCAGCCGCCCACGCUGCACCCGCAGGAAGCCAGAAACCGAAGGAAAUCUUGCAGCGGCCGUGACCUAGCUCUGCUUUGCUUAAUGCUUUCUCAACGAUGGAUCUCUGGGGCAUUUCCAUAGUGCACAUUUAAACUCACUUCGCACGUCUUCUUUCUCCCCCGAGAAUCCCAGGACUUGUCGCUGCAUAGAACGGAGCUUACAGAUCGCUCAUGUAGAAAACGGAGAUCAUAGGAUGCUCAGUGUUGUCAUCAAAUGAGAAAUCCCAGGAUUCUCAGGGGGGGGGGACUGAAAUGGAUGAGGGACUGGUAUAAAAUCCCCUGUGUCGAUAUUGAGUUGAUGGAAUGAAUGACCUGUUAUCUCAGUAGAAAUAGCGCUUUUCAAGGGUUCGCCACCACGGGCCUAGUACAUACACUCCAUUGAAGUACUGUCCACUUUACAGUGAGUUGCUACCAGUGGUGUCUUUUCCUCUAUUUUUCUCCCAACAGCCCCAGGCGUCAGAAGCCUGAAUGUGUUAACAGGGUUUGGUUCAGAGCUGGGCUUAUCGCUGUUUCCCAUAGUUUUGAGCAGCGGAAAUGUUCGUAAACAUUCUACAACACCUCAUCAGCUAAGCAAGUUCAGUCCACCGAAGCUAGAAUUCUCACAACCAAGAGCAGUAGAGCAGUGGUGGGAUUCAAAUAAUUUAACAACCGGUUGUUUACAAGCACCGUUUUAACAACCGGCUCUGCCAAAGUGGUGCGAACCGGCUGAAUUCCACCGCUGCAAGAGAGGCUUCAAACACCGCAGGGCAUAUUUGACUCAAGAGUCAUCUUACACUGAGGUUAUCUAAUAGCAAAGUGGUCAAAAGUGUCGGGCACUUAAAAAAAACCCACAGUGCCCUGUUCUUUGUUACUUUCCAUGCACUAUUUACGUCUCUGCAGUCAUUCCUGUGUCCCAACCAUAAGAGAUGCCAACCUCCAGCUGGGACCUGGAGAUCAUCCAGAAUUCCAGCUGUUCUCCAGACAAGAGAUCAGUCCCUCUGGAGAACAUGGCCGUUGGAGGGUGGGUUCUAGGACAUUAUACUCCUCAGAGCUCCUUCUGCUCCCCAAACUCUGCCUUCCCGAGGCACCACCAACAAAUCUCUGGGAAUCUCCCAACCGUGGAGUUGGCAGCCCCACAUGGAAUGCCCGUUGACCCAAACAAGGCUUUGCCUUGAAAAUAUAAGUAACCGCAGGCCUCCUGACGUUGUUUCCUCCUGUCCUCUGGGAUUCAUUAGGAGCAUUAUAAACCAUCUCCUCCGCUCACCCUACAGAUGAGCCCGGAACGCUCCCCUCCCUUCCCCAUUCCUCUCCCAGUAAUAUGGAGGGAACACUGUGUCACCAGGAUGAAGAGCGUUUGCUGCUGCCUCGCUUUGUUUUGCUUUACCCAAUAAAUCCUUGCAGCAAAUGAAAAAAAA